rnacentral:rRNA from 1 species
CCUACGGGAGGCAGCAGUGGGGAAUUUUGGACAAUGGGCGCAAGCCUGAUCCAGCAAUGCCGCGUGAGUGAAGAAGGCCUUCGGGUUGUAAAGCUCUUUUGUCAGGGAAGAAACGGUGGGGGCUAAUAUCUCCUGCUAAUGACGGUACCUGAAGAAUAAGCACCGGCUAACUACGUGCCAGCAGCCGCGGUAAUACGUAGGGUGCAAGCGUUAAUCGGAAUUACUGGGCGUAAAGCGUGCGCAGGCGGUUUUGUAAGUUUGUCGUGAAAUCCCCGGGCUCAACCUGGGAAUGGCGAUGAAGACUGCAAGGCUAGAAUCUGGCAGAGGGGGGUAGAAUUCCACGUGUAGCAGUGAAAUGCGUAGAGAUGUGGAGGAACACCGAUGGCGAAGGCAGCCCCCUGGGUCAAGAUUGACGCUCAUGCACGAAAGCGUGGGGAGCAAACAGGAUUAGAUACCCUGGUAGUCCACGCCCUAAACGAUGUCUACUGUUGUCGGGUUUUAAUUAACUUGGUAACGCAGCUACGCGUGAGUAGACCGCCGUCGGGAGGUACGGUCGCGAAGUAGUAAACGUUACGAAGUAAGUUAGUUAGCGUUGNGACGNGCGACGGACGACGACGAGGAGGAGG